GUAUUUUAAUAUUCGUUUUCUGUUUUUUCUCUACAAUUCAGAUAAAUAUGUCCUUGUUUCGAUCUCUUUCGUUUUUCCUUCUUGGUUUGGCUCGCACUGGAGUAUCUUCCUGAUCCGAGCUUGUUACGUGCCUGGGCAUGGAGUUUCUCCUGAAACUUGCGUCUUCUGCUGUAAGUUCCAGUUUGGUGUUGUCCCAAGUUGGAAGGCGAAGGUGCUCCUGUUUUAUUUUUUUUCUUUCGGUUUAGUUUGCCUUUUCUAGGUUGUAAAUGGACUGUUUAAAUUGGGAUUUUUGUUCUUCUUCUUUAUCGCUUUGUUUUUUUUGGUUAUUAUUAUUUUUUCAUCUUUCUUGAUAUUGCUUUUUGAAUUUGAUCUGGGUCUUUUGAA